rnacentral:rRNA from 1 species
AGCGAACGCUGGCGGCAGGCUUAACACAUGCAAGUCGAGCGGGCAUCUUCGGAUGUCAGCGGCAGACGGGUGAGUAAACCGGGGGAACGUACCCUUCGGUUCGGAACAACUCUGGGAAACUGGAGCUAAUACCGGAUACGCCCUUAUGGGGAAAGGUUGACUUCCGAGGGAUCGGCCCGCGUCUGAUUGGCUUGUUGGUGGGGUAACGGCCUACCCAGGCGACGAGCAGUAGCUGGUCUGAGAGGAUGAUCAGCCAGGCUGGGACUGCGACACGGCCCAGACUGCUACGGGAGGCUGCAGUGGGGAAUAUUGGACACGGGGGGCAAGCCUGAUCCAGCCACGCCGCGGGAGUGAUGAAGGCCGUAGGGUUGUAAAGCUCUUUUGUCCGGGACGAUAAUGACGGUACCGGAAGAAUAAGCCCCGGCUAACUUCGUG